rnacentral:rRNA from 1 species
CCGGCGACCGGCGGACGGGUGCGUAACGCGUAUGUAACCUACCUUUGACAGGGGGAUAACAUCGAGAAAUUGGUACUAAUACCCCAUAACAUCACCGGAGGCAUCUUCGGUGGUUGAAAACUCAGGUGGUCAGAGAUGGACAUGCGUUGUAUUAGCUAGUUGGUGAGGUAACGGCUCACCAAGGCGACGAUGCGUAGGGGUUCUGAGAGGAAGGUCCCCCACACUGGUACUGAGACACGGACCAGACUCCUACGGAAGGCAGCAG